rnacentral:rRNA from 1 species
UGAGGAAUAUUGGUCAAUGGACGGAAGUCUGAACCAGCCAAGUAGCGUGCAGGAUGACGGCCCUAUGGGUUGUAAACUGCUUUUGUAUGGGGAUAAAGUUAGGGACGUGUCCCUAUUUGCAGGUACCAUACGAAUAAGGACCGGCUAAUUCCGUGCCAGCAGCCGCGGUAAUACGGAAGGUCCAGGCGUUAUCCGGAUUUAUUGGGUUUAAAGGGAGCGUAGGCUGGAGAUUAAGUGUGUUGUGAAAUGUAGACGCUCAACGUCUGAAUUGCAGCGCNUACUGGUUUCCUUGAGUACGCACAACGUUGGCGGAAUUCGUCGUGUAGCGGUGAAAUGCUUAGAUAUGACGAAGAACUCCGAUUGCGAAGGCAGCUGACGGGAGCGCAACUGACGCUUAAGCUCGAAGGUGCGGGUAUCAAACAGGAUUAGAUACCCUGGUAGUCCGCACAGUAAACGAUGGAUGCCCGCUGUUGGUACCUGGUAUCAGCGGCUAAGCGAAAGCAUUAAGCAUCCCACCUGGGGAGUACGCCGGCAACGGUG